UAACUCCGUGCCAGCAGCCGCGGUAAUACGGAGGGUGCAAGCGUUAAUCGGAACUACUGGGCGUAAAGGGCGCGUAGGCGGUUUGGUAAGUCGGAUGUGAAAUCCCCGGGCUUAACCUGGGAACUGCAUUUGAUACUGCCUCGCUCGAGUACGGCAGAGGAGAGUGGAAUUCCCGGUGUAGCGGUGAAAUGCGUAAAUAUCGGGAGGAACAUCGGUGGCGAAGGCGGCCCCCUGGACCUAUACUGACGCUGAUGCGCGAAAGCGUGGGGAGCAAACAGGAUUAGAUA
rnacentral:rRNA from 1 species